rnacentral:rRNA from 1 species
UUGGAGGGCAAGUCUGGUGCCAGCAGCCGCGGUAAUUCCAGCUCCAAUAGCGUAUAUUAAAGUUGUUGCAGUUAAAAAGCUCGUAGUUGAAUUUCGGGGUCAGCAGGUUGGUCGUGCCACUGGUAUGCACUGGCCUUGCUGAUUCCUCCCUCUUGAUGAGCCGUAAUGUCAUUAAUUUGGUGUUGCGGGGAAUCAGGACUGUUACUUUGAAAAAAUUAGAGUGCUCCAGGCAGGCCUAUGCUCGAAUACAUUAGCAUGGAAUAAUAGAAUAGGACGUGUGGUUCUAUUUUGUUGGUUUCUAGGACCGCCGUAAUGAUUAAUAGGGACAGUCGGGGGCAUCAGUAUUCAAUUGUCAGAGGUGAAAUUCUUGGAUUUAUUGAAGACUAACUACUGCGAAAGCAUUUGCCAAGGAUGUUUUCAUUAAUCAGGAACGAAAGUUAGGGGAUCGAAGACGAUCAGAUACCGUCGUAGUCUUAACCAUAAACUAUGCCGACUAGGGAUCGGACGAUGUUACUUAUUGACUCGUUCGGCACCUUACGGGAAAC